ACUUAAAUUGAAGAGUUUGAUCAUGGCUCAGAUUGAACGCUGGCGGCAGGCCUAACACAUGCAAGUCGAGCGGUAGCACAGAGAGCUUGCUCUCGGGUGACGAGCGGCGGACGGGGGAGUAAUGUCUGGGAAACUGCCUGAUGGAGGGGGAUAACUACUGGAAACGGUAGCUAAUACCGCAUAAUGUCGCAAGACCAAAGUGGGGGACCUUCGGGCCUCAUGCCAUCAGAUGUGCCCAGAUGGGAUUAGCUUGUAGGUGGGGUAACGGCUCACCUAGGCGACGAUCCCUAGCUGGUCUGAGAGGAUGACCAGCCACACUGGAACUGAGACACGGUCCAGACUCCUACGGGAGGCAGCAGUGGGGAAUAUUGCACAAUGGGCGCAAGCCUGAUGCAGCCAUGCCGCGUGUGUGAAGAAGGCCUUCGGGUUGUAAAGCACUUUCAGCGGGGAGGAAGGCGGUGAGGUUAAUAACCUCAUCGAUUGACGUUACCCGCAGAAGAAGCACCGGCUAACUCCGUGCCAGCAGCCGCGGUAAUACGGAGGGUGCAAGCGUUAAUCGGAAUUACUGGGCGUAAAGCGCACGCAGGCGGUCUGUCAAGUCGGAUGUGAAAUCCCCGGGCUCAACCUGGGAACUGCAUUCGAAACUGGCAGGCUAGAGUCUUGUAGAGGGGGGUAGAAUUCCAGGUGUAGCGGUGAAAUGCGUAGAGAUCUGGA
rnacentral:rRNA from 1 species